rnacentral:rRNA from 1 species
UAAAAGAAGUUUACAAUACAUAAUACCGUCGUCCUUCACGCGAUUUGGCUGGUUCAGGCUCUCGCCCAUUGACCAAUAUUCCUCACUGCUGCCUCCCGUAGGAGUCUGGUCCGUGUCUCAGUACCAGUGUGGGGGAUAAACCUCUCAGUUCCCCUAUCCAUCGAUGGCUUGGUAGGCCGUUACCCAUACCAACUACCUAAUGGAGCGCAUGCCCAUCCAUAACCAAUAAAUCUUUAGCAAAUAUUACCAUGUGGUAUCCCUGCUUUAUGCGGUAUUAAUUCGCCUUUCGACGAGCUAUCCCCCAGUUAUGGGUAGGUUGCAUACGUGUUACUCACCCGUGCGCCGGUCGCCACCACCCGAAA